rnacentral:rRNA from 1 species
UCACGAUAUUAAGUUAUCGUUGGUGGAUGCCUAGGCAUUAACAGGCGAAGAAGGACGCGCCUACCUGCGAUAAGCUUCGGGGAGCUGGAAGGAAGCAAUGAACCGGAGAUUUCCGAAUGGGGAAACCCAAUGGGAAAAAGACCCAUUAUUAUUAUCUGAAUACAUAGGAUAAUAAAGCGAGACCCGCUGAAGUGAGACAUCUCAGUAAGCGGAGGAAAAGAAAUCAAAAGAGAUUCCCUCAGUAGCGGCGAGCGAAGGGGGAAGAGCCUAAACCGUAGAUCUUAUCUACGGGGUUGUAGGGCAAGCGAUAAGCGAGAUAAGACUUAGUUGAACCAUCUGGAAAGUUGGACGACACAAGGUGAAAGUCCUGUAGACGAAAAGUCGGAGAAUUGAGCGAGCUUGUACCUGAGUAGGGCCGGACACGUGAAACCCGGUCUGAAUCUGGGGAGACCACUCUCCAAGGCUAAAUACUAGUUAAUGACCGAUAGUGAACAAGUACAGUGAUGGAAAGGUGAAAAGAACCCUCGAUAAGGGAGUGAAAUAGAACCUGAAACCAGCGGCUUACAAACGGUCAGAGGCCUAUGGUCCUUUUAGGACAAAGGCUGAUGGCGUGCCUUUUGCAUGAUGAGCCAGCGAGUUAUGUUAUACGGCGAGGUUAAGGAACCGUCGUUCUGGAGCCGAAGCGAAAGCGAGUGUGAAUAGCGCGAAUAGUCGUAUGACAUAGACACGAAACCAAGUGAUCUACCUAUGACCAGGAUGAAGCAGGGGUAACACCUUGUGGAGGUCCGAACUAGUAAACGUUGAAAAGUUUUUGGAUGAGUUGUGGGUAGGGGUGAAAGGCCAAUCAAACUUGGUAAUAUCUUGUUCUCUCCGAAAUAACUUUAGGGUUAGCCUUAGUAUAAAUGCUUUUAGGGGUAGAGCACUGAAUCUCCGAGGGGGCCUACCGGCCUACUGACGGGAAUCAAACUCCGAAUACUAAAAGCCUGACUAGGAGAUAGACUGCGGGGGAUAAGCUUUGUAGUCAAAAGGGGAACAGCCCAGAUCGCCGAUUAAGGUCCCAAAUUCUAUGCUAAGUGAGUAAGGAAGUGAAGUCUCAAAGACAGUUGGGAUGUUGGCUUAGAGGCAGCCAUCAUUUAAAGAGUGCGUAACAGCUCACCAAUCGAGAGACUUUGCGCCGAUAAUAUCCGGGGCUGAAGCAUAGAACCGAAAUCGCGGGUUUGAACGAAAGUUCAAGCGGUAGGAGAGCGUAGUUUUUGCGUUGAAGAUAUACUGUGAAGAGUGUUGGAGCGAAAACUAGUGAGAAUGCAUGGCAUAAGUAAACGAUAAAGGGAGUGAGAAUCUCCCUCGCCGAAAACUCAAGGUUUCCAGGGUAAAGCUCGUCUUCCCUGGGUUAGCCGGAGCCUAAGCUGAGGCUGAAAAGCGUAAGUGAUGGGAAGCAGGUUAAAUAUUCCUGCGCCACUUGGAGGCUUAAGUAUGGGGUGACGAAGGAAAUGAAGCACGCGGACGAUUGGUAGUGUCCGUUUCAUGAUGGGAUGGGCUAGUAGGCAAAUCCGCUAGCAGAAAGUCUGGUCAUGGACAAGGGGAAUCGAAAGAGGAACCGAAGGUGUGGAAUGGACUUCCAAGAAAUAACCUCUAACUGCCAAGAAGUGUCCGUACCAAAACCGACACAGGUGAGUGUGAAGAAUAUUCUCAGGCGCGCGAGAUAACUCUUGUUAAGGAACUCGGCAAAUUAUCCCCGUAACUUCGGGAGAUGGGGAGCCAUCUUGUGUGAAGAUGAACAAUCUGAGCGUGAGGUGGCCGCAGAGAAAUGGCCCAGGCGACUGUUUAACAAAAACACAGCACUAUGCGAACUCGUUUAAGAGGAGGUAUAUGGUGUGAUGCCUGCCCAAUGCCAAAAGGUCAAAGGGAAAUGUAAGCGGCCUUGUGCUGCGAAGCAUAGAACUUAAGCCCUGGUGAAUGGCGGCCGUAACUAUAACGGUCCUAAGGUAGCGAAAUUCCUUGUCGGGUAAGUUCCGACCUGCACGAAUGGCUUAACGAUCUGGGCGCUGUCUCAACAAGAGACUCGGUGAAAUUGUAGUAGCGGUGAAGAUGCCGUUUACCCGCAGUAAGACGGAAAGACCCCGUGAACCUUUACUGUAGUUUGAUAUUGGCUUUUGACUUGUCAUGUGUAGGAUAGCCGGAAGACAUAGAAGCGCCUUCGUCAGGAGGUGUGGAGUCGUCCUUGAAAUACCGGUCUUGAUAAGUUGAAAAUCUAACGAUAUACCAUGAAACUGGUAGUCGGACAAUGUCAGAUGGGCAGUUUGACUGGGGCGGUUUCCUCCUAAAGAGUAACGGAGGAGUUCAAAGCUUACCUCAUCGUGGUUGGUAAUCACGAGUAGAGCGUAAAGGUAUAAGGUAGGUUGACUGUAAGACGGACAUGUCGAGCAGGAGCGAAAGCUGGACUUAGUGAUCCGGCGGUUGAAAGUGGAAUCGCCGUCGCUUAACGGAUAAAAGGUACUCCGGGGAUAACAGGCUUAUCGCCACCAAGAGUUCAUAUCGACGUGGCGGUUUGGCACCUCGAUGUCGACUCAUCGCAUCCUGGGGCUGGAGAAGGUCCCAAGGGUUAGGCUGUUCGCCUAUUAAAGCGGUACGCGAGUUGGGUUCAAAACGUCGUGAGACAGUUUGGUUCCUAUCUGCUGUGGGCGCAGGAUACUUGAGGAGAGCUGCUUCUAGUACGAGAGGACCGAAGUGGACAAACCAAUGGUGAUCCGGUUGUUCUGCCAAGAGCAUUGCCGGUUAGCUAUGUUUGGAAAGGAUAAGCGUUGAAAGCAUCUAAACGCCAAGUGUAUCGUGACUGGGAAAC